rnacentral:rRNA from 1 species
AUGGAUUACGAGCAAGGCGGCGGCGGUGGCCGCGGCCGCGGGAGAUCUCGCGGUGGCGGGCGUGGCGGGGCGCCCGGUGGCUACGGGCCUCAAGGAGGCGGAGGAGGCUACGGAGGAGGCGGUCAAGGCCGGGGCGCUCAGGGAAGCGGUGGAGGAUACGGAGGAGGCGGAGGCUACGGGCCCCAAGGGGGCAUGGAGGGCCGCGGAGGUGGCUACGCGCCUCGCGGCGGAGGUUACGCUCCUCGCGGGGGCGGCGAGGGCCGCGGGCGGGGCUAUGGUCCGCAGGGAGGCGGCGAGGGCCGCGGAGGCGGGCCGGGAGGGCGUGGUCCUGGCGGUGGUGGGCGGGGGUACGGCCCCGGCGGUGGGCGCGGUGGGAACGCGUGGGCGCAGCCUGGGAGAGGGACCGCCGGAGGACCCGGGGAAUACGUCCCGGUGAGGGCGCCGGCGCCGGCGCCGGCGCCAGCGUCUGCGGCGAGGAGGGUUGAGUCCGAGGAGGCGGGGCGCUCAUCUGGAUCCGUCGAACGCAUCAGCUCCAAAGAAGUGGCAAAAUUAGAACCAUUAGCGCCCCCAGUUGCUGUGUCUCCCAAUGGCAUACGUGUGCCAAUGCAAAGACCUGAUGGUGGUGGAACAUUAUGUCAAGCCAGGGUCCAGCUUUUGGUAAACCACUUCAUAGUCAAGUACCCAAAGCUGUCAACCUUUUUUCACUAUGACAUAGAUAUCAAGUUUGAUCCAGCGUCUUCAAAGGUUUCUGGCAAGGAGCUCUCCAAUGCAGAUUUUCUUUCUGCAAAGGCCGAGCUUUUCAAGGAUGACAGCUUUCGGCAGCUUUCAUCGGCUGUUGCUUAUGAUGGAAAGAGAAACCUAUUUACUGUUGCACAACUGCCAGAAGGUUUAUUCCGUGUCAGAGUUCGUUCAAAGACCUACAUUGUAUCAGUAGAGUUCAAGAAGCAGCUUCCUCUAAGCCAACUCUCGGAGCUGCCUGUGGCUAGGGAGAUCUUACAGGGUCUUGAUGUCAUUGUGCGUGAGGCUUCUAGCUGGAGCAAGAUUAUACUUGGUCAUGGAUUUUACUCACCACAAAGCAAAGCGGAUAUGGGGUCAGGUGUUGUAUCAAUGAAAGGAACCCAGCAGACCCUUAAACACACUCAACAGGGACUGGUCCUAUGUGUCGACUAUUCAGUUAUGCCAUUUCGCAGAGAUGGACCUGUUCUGGAUAUUGUGCGGCAGUUUAUAAAGCCCCUUCCCCUUGACUACAGGACAGCACUGAACAAGACUCAUCGGGAAAAGUUGGUGUAUGAGCUCAAAAGCCAACGUGUUACUGUGUCCCACCGGAAGACUAAGCAGAAGUACACUAUUCAAGGCUUCACUGAUUUGCCAGCCAGCCAGAUCACCUUUUUGGAUUCGGAAUCAGGGCAGUCAAGGAAACUUGUUGACUAUUUUGCUCAGCAGUAUGGCAAGGUGAUUGAGUAUCAGAUGCUUCCAUGCCUGGAUUUAAGCAAGAGCAAAGACAAACCAAAUUAUGUGCCCAUUGAGCUUUGUAAGCUUGUUGAAGGACAGAGGUAUCCAAUGGCAAAUUUGAACAAGGACACUGAUAGAGCACUGAAAAGCAAGGCUUUAAUCAAGGCAGCUGAGCGGAAGUGGGAGAUUGAGACUGCGGUCAAAGCUGAAGAUGGGCCUUGCAGGGGAGAAAUAGCUCAACAGUUUGGGAUUUCUUUGGAUGUGAAGAUGAUGGAAGUCACUGGCAGGGUCCUUUCUCCUCCCAUGCUGACACUCGGCUCCUCCAGAGGAGCCCCUGGCAGUUUAAGUAUCACUCCAUCUAAUUGCCAGUGGAACCUCAUGGGGAAGAAACUGGUAGAAGGCAAAGCACUUCAGUGCUGGGGCAUUGUGGACUUCAGUGCACGGCCAUCUCACAACAAGCAGCAAGCGCUUGAUGGGAACAUGUUUAUUAACUAUAUCGUCAAGAAGUGCUGUGACCUUGGCAUUCAGAUGAACAAGACAGCAUGUUUUGUGCAUCUAUCGGCAAUGUCAGUGCUAUCAGAUCCACACCAACUGUACGAGGAGCUGAACAAAGCUAAGCAGGCUGCGGUGAAGAAGAACCAGAAGCUGCAGCUCCUCUUCUGCCCGAUGUCUGAACAGCAUCCUGGGUACAAGACACUGAAGCUGAUCUGCGAGACGCAGCUGGGGAUCCAAACCCAGUGUUUCUUGAGCCACCUCGCAAACAAAACCCAGGGUCAGGACCAGUACAUGUCCAACCUUGCUCUCAAGAUCAACAGCAAGCUCGGGGGCAUCAACGUCCAGCUCCAGGACAAGCUCCCACUGGACAACGGUGUUCCUUACAUGUUCAUCGGCGCGGACGUGAACCACCCGUCACCCGGGAAUGUGGAAAGCCCGUCGAUAGCAGCUGUGGUUGCGUCCAUGAAUAGGGGCGCCACCAAGUACGUGCCUAGAAUCCGCGCCCAGCCGCACCGCUGUGAGGUGAUCAAGAACCUCGGCGAGAUUGUCCAAGAGCUCAUCGGUGUCUUUGAGAAGAAGGCCGGCGUAAAGCCUCAGAGGAUCAUUUACUUCCGUGAUGGCGUGAGUGAUGGACAGUUCGAGAUGGUCCUUAACGAGGAGCUUGCAGACAUGGAGAAGGUGAUCAAGGUGAAGGGCUACUCGCCGACGAUCACCGUGAUUGUGGCCAAGAAGCGGCACCACACGCGGCUGUUCCCCAAGGAGCACAACGAGCCGCUGCAGACGAAGAAUGGCAAUGUGCUCCCUGGCACGGUGGUGGACACCAGAAUUGUCGACCCUGUGACAUACGACUUCUACCUGUGCAGCCACAACGGGCUGAUAGGGACCAGCCGGCCGACGCACUACUACAACCUGAUGGACGAGCACGGCUACGGGUCGGACGACCUGCAGAGGCUGGUGUACAACCUCUGCUUCGUGUUCGCGCGCUGCACCAAGCCCGUAUCGCUGGCGACGCCCGUCUACUACGCUGACCUGGCGGCAUACCGUGGCAGGCUCUACUAUGAGGGCAUGCUGGCGUCCCAGCCCCAGGUGCGCAGCUCGUCGUCCUCGGCCUCCUCCGCAGCGGCGGGUGCUUCUGACUUCAGCAACUUCCCGAUGCUGCACGUGGAUCUUCAGGACAACAUGUUCUUCAUCUGA